GAUGAACGCUGGCGGCGUGCCUAAUACAUGCAAGUCGAGCGAACAGACGAGGAGCUUGCUCCUCUGACGUUAGCGGCGGACGGGUGAGUAACACGUGGAUAACCUACCUAUAAGACUGGGAUAACUUCGGGAAACCGGAUCUAAUACCGGAUAAUAUAUUGAACCGCAUGGUUGAAUAGUGAAAUACGGUUUUGCUGUCACUUAUAGAUGGAUCCGCGCCGCAUUAGCUAGUUGGUAAGGUAACGGCUUACCAAGGGAACGAUGCGUAACCGACCUGAGAGGGUGAUCGCCCACACUGGAAGUGAGACACGGUCCAGACUCCUACGGGAGGCAGCAGUAGGGAAUGUGCCGCAAUGGGCGAAAGCCUGACGGAGCGACGCCGCGUGAGUGAUGAAGGUCUUCGGAUCGUAAAACUCUGUUAUUAGGGAAGAACAAAUGUGUAAGUAACUAUGCACGUCUUGACGGUACCUAAUCAGAAAGCAACGGCUAACUACGUG
rnacentral:rRNA from 1 species